AUUGAACGCUGGCGGAAUGCUUUACACAUGCAAGUCGAGCGGCAGCGCGGGGCAACCUGGCGGCGAGCGGCGAACGGGUGAGUAACACAUCGGAACGUGCCCAGACGUGGGGGAUAGCCCGGCGAAAGCCGGAUUAAUACCGCAUACGAUCUAAGGAUGAAAGCGGGGGACUCGCAAGGGCCUCGCGCGUUUGGAGCGGCCGAUGGCAGAUUAGGUAGUUGGUGGGGUAAAGGCUUACCAAGCCUGCGAUCUGUAGCUGGUCUGAGAGGAUGAUCAGCCACACUGGGACUGAGACACGGCCCAGACUCCUACGGGAGGCAGCAGUGGGGAAUUUUGGACAAUGGGCGCAAGCCUGAUCCAGCCAUUCCGCGUGCAGGACGAAGGCCUUCGGGUUGUAAACUGUCUUUGUACGGUAACGAAAGGUACUUCUCUAAUACAGAGGCCACUGACGGUACCGUAAGAAUAAGACACCGGCUAACUACGUGCCAGCAGCCGCGGUAACG
rnacentral:rRNA from 1 species